UACGGAGGGUGCGAGCGUUAAUCGGAAUUACUGGGCGUAAAGCGUGCGUAGGCGGCAUAAUAAGCCAGAUGUGAAAGCCCUGGGCUUAACCUGGGAACUGCAUUUGGAACUGUUAAGCUAGAGUUGAGUAGAGGUAAGUGGAAUUUCAGGUGUAGCGGUGAAAUGCGUAGAGAUCUGAAGGAACACCAGUGGCGAAGGCGACUUACUGGACUCAAACUGACGCUGAGGUACGAAAGCGUGGGUAG
rnacentral:rRNA from 1 species